GACGAACGCUGGCGGCGUGCUUAACACAUGCAAGUCGAACGGAAAGUCCCCUUUGGGGGUACUCGAGUGGCGAACGGGUGAGUAACACGUUAGUAACCUGCCCUUGACUUCGGGAUAACUUCAGGUAACUGGUGCUAAUACCGGAUAGGAAUCCUUGCUGCAUGGUGGGGGUUGGAAAGCUUAGGCGGUUUUGGAUGGACUCGCGGCUUAUCAGCUUGUUGGUGGGGUAGUGGCUUACCAAGGCUUUGACGGGUAGCAGGCCUGAGAGGGCGACCGGCCACAUUGGGACUGAGAUACGGCCCAGACUCCGACGGGAGGCAGAAGUAGGGAAGAGUGCACAAUGGGAGGAAGCCUGAUGCAGCAACGCCGCGUGCGGGAGGACGGCCUUCGGGUUGUAAACCGCUUUCAGCAGGGGCGAAGCUUGUGGUGACGGUACCUGCAGAAGAAGCACCGGCUAACUACGUG
rnacentral:rRNA from 1 species